rnacentral:rRNA from 1 species
AACGAACGCUGGCGGCAGGCUUAACACAUGCAAGUCGAGCGCCUCGCAAGGGGAGCGGCAGACGGGUGAGUAACGCGUGGGAACGUACCUUUUGGUUCGGAACAACUCCGGGAAACUGGAGCUAAUACCGGAUAAGCCCUAACGGGGAAAGAUUUAUCGCCGAAAGAUCGGCCCGCGUCUGAUUAGCUAGUUGGUGAGGUAACGGCUCACCAAGGCGACGAUCAGUAGCUGGUCUGAGAGGAUGAUCAGCCACACUGGGACUGAGACACGGCCCAGACUCCUACGGGAGGCAGCAGUGGGGAAUAUUGGACAAUGGGCGCAAGCCUGAUCCAGCCAUGCCGCGUGAGUGAUGAAGGCCUUAGGGUUGUAAAGCUCUUUUGUCCGGGAAGAUAAUGACUGUACCGGAAGAAUAAGCCCCGGCUAACUUCGUG